rnacentral:miRNA from 1 species
UUUGUUUUGUUUUUUGUUUU